AACCCUUCGGGGGGGACAGUGGCGAAAGGGCGAGGAAUACAAUCGAACGUACCCCGAGGUGGGGGAUAGGUCGUGGGAAACUGCGGCGUAAUACCCCAUGUGCUCUCCGGAGGAAAGCUUCGGCGCCUUGGGAGCGGCGAUUGUCCUAUCAGCUAGUUGGCGAGGUAACGGCCCACCAAGCCGAAGACGGGUAGCGGGUGUGAGAGCACGACCCGCCGCAUCGGGACUGAGACACUGCCCGGACUCCUACGGGAGGCAGCAGUAACGAAUAUUCCGCAAUGGGCGAAAGCCUGACGGAGCAAUGCCGCGUGUGGGAUGAAGCGGUUUCGCCGUGUAAACCACUGUCAGAAGAUAGAAAAGAUGAUCAUCUUCAGAGGAAGGGGCGACUAACUCUGUGCCAGCAGCCGCGGUAAUACGAGAGGCCCGAGCGUUAAUCGGAAUCACUGGGCUUAAAGCGUGCGCAGGCGGACCUGGCAAGCGUCUCGUGAAAUCCCACGGCUCAACCGGGGAACUGCGGGGCGAACUGCCGGUCUUGAGGAAGGUAGGGGCCGACGGAACCAUCGGUGGAGCGGUGAAAUGCGUAGAUAUCGAUGGGAACGCCAAUGGGGAAGCCAGUCGGCUGGGCCUUUCCUGACGCUCAGGCACGAAAGCGUGGGGAGCAAACAGGAUUAGAUACCCUGGUAGUCCACGCCGUAAACGAUGUGCACUAGACCGAAGCGGCUCUCACGCCUGUUUCGGUCGAAGGAAAACCGUUAAGUGCACCGCCUGGGGAGUACGGUCGCAAGGCUAAAACUCAAAGGAAUUGACGGGGGCUCACACAAGCGGUGGAGCAUGUUGCUUAAUUCGAGGCAACGCGAAGAACCUUACCUGGGUUUGACAUGCACGGAUUAACUCUGUGAAAGCAGAGCCACGCUCCCAAGAGUGGAACAUGCACAGGUGCUGCAUGGCUGUCGUCAGCUCGUGCUGUGAAGUGUCGGGUUAAGUCCCUUAACGAGCGCAACCCCUAUCGUUAGUUGCUAACGGGUCAAGCCGAGUACUCUAGCGAGACUGCCGGUGUCAAACCGGAGGAAGGUGGGGAUGACGUCAAGUCAGCAUGGCCCUUACAUCCAGGGAUGCAAACGUGCUACAAUGGCGUGGACAAAGCGACGCAAGGCCGCGAGGCGGAGCAAAUCGCAAAAAACACGCCCCAGUUCGGAUUGCAGGCUGCAACUCGCCUGCAUGAAGUCGGAAUCGCUAGUAAUCGGCGGAUCAGCUACGCUCCGGUGAAUACGUUCCUGAGCCUUGUACACACCGCCCGUCACGUCAUGGAAGCCGGG
rnacentral:rRNA from 1 species